CCCGGCCACGGUGGGAUUCGAACCUACGACCUUUGGAAUACUAGUCCAAUGCUCUUCCAACUGAGCUACGCGGUCAGGACGGUUCGAGUAAGUGAUAUUUCGGAACAGAAUCUAGUUCCUUCGAUACCAUUGUAUUCUAGUAAUAUGAUUUUUUUUCUGUGUUGGUGUAGUGUACUCAGGUGAAUAUGAUAUUUGUGGUGUUACUCUGAGUGUAUAUCCACACCGGGCGAGCUUGAAAAAUAUGCCCGGCCACGGUGGGAUUCGAACCUACGACCUUUGGAACACUUGCCCAAUGCUCUUCCAACUGAGCUACGCGGUCAGGACGGUUCGAGUAAGUGAUAUUUCGGAACAGAAUCUAGUUCCUUCGAUACCAAUGUAUUCUAGUAAUAUGAAUUUUUUUCUGUGUUGGUGUAGUGUACUCAGGUGAAUAUGAUAUUUGUGGUGUUACUCUGAGUGUAUAUCCACACCGGGCGAGCUUGAAAAAUAUGCCCGGCCACGGUGGGAUUCGAACCUACGACCUUUGGAAUACUAGCCCAAUGCUCUUCCAACUGAGCUACGCGGUCAGGACGGUUCGAGUAAGUGAUAUUUCGGAACAGAAUCUAGUUCCUUCGAUACCAAUGUAUUCUAGUGAUAUGAAUUUUUUCUGUGUUGGUGUAGAUCAGGUGAAUAUGAUAUUUGUGGUGUUACUCUGAGUGUAUAUCCACACCGGGCGAGCUUGAAAAAUAUGCCCGGCCACGGUGGGAUUCGAACCUACGACCUUUGGAAUACUAGCCCAAUG